GCGUUGUCCGGAAUUAUUGGGCGUAAAGAGCUCGUAGGCGGUUUGUCGCGUCUGCUGUGAAAUCCCGAGGCUCAACCUCGGGCUUGCAGUGGGUACGGGCAGACUAGAGUGCGGUAGGGGAGAUUGGAAUUCCUGGUGUAGCGGUGGAAUGCGCAGAUAUCAGGAGGAACACCGAUGGCGAAGGCAGAUCUCUGGGCCGUAACUGACGCUGAGGAGCGAAAGCAUGGGGAGCGAACAGGAUUAGAUACCCUGGUAGUCCAUGCCGUAAACGUUGGGCGCUAGAUGUAGGGACCUUUCCACGGUUUCUGUGUCGUAGCUAACGCAUUAAGCGCCCCGCCUGGGGAGUACGGCCGCAAGGCUAAAACUCAAA
rnacentral:rRNA from 1 species